GACGAACGCUGGCGGCGUGCCUAAUACAUGCAAGUAGAACGCACAGUUUAUACCGUAGCUUGCUACACCAUAGACUGUGAGUUGCGAACGGGUGAGUAACGCGUAGGUAACCUGCCUGGUAGCGUGGGAUAACUAUUGGAAACGAUAGCUAAUACCUCAUACUAUUAAUUAUUGCAUGAUAAUUAAUUGAAAGUUGCAAUUUCAACACUACCAGAUGGACCUGCGUUGUAUUAGCUAGUAGGGGAGGUCACGGCGCACCUAGGCGACGAUAGAGACACGGCCUGACAGGGUGAUCGGCCACACUGGGACUGAGACACGGCCCAGACUCCCACGGGAGGCAGCAGUAGGGAAACUUCGGCGAUGGACGAAAGUCUGACCGAGGAACGCCGGGUGAGUGAAGAAGGUUUUCGGAUCGUAAAGCUCUGUUGUAAGAGAAGAACGGGUGUGAGAGUGGAAAGUUCACACUGUGACGGUAUCUUACCAGAAAGGGACGGCUAACUACGUG
rnacentral:rRNA from 1 species